GAAAUAACUCCGCCUGUAACUCUUCUAGAGUUACUGCCGGCCCCAAGCCCGGGUAAAGGAGGAGGGGUGG
rnacentral:ribozyme from 2 species